UACGGAGGGGGCUAGCGUUGUUCGGAAUUACUGGGCGUAAAGCGCACGUAGGCGGCUUUGUAAGUUAGAGGUGAAAGCCCGGGGCUCAACCCCGGAAUUGCCUUUAAGACUGCAUCGCUUGAACGUCGGAGAGGUGAGUGGAAUUCCGAGUGUAGAGGUGAAAUUCGUAGAUAUUCGGAGGAACACCAGUGGCGAAGGCGGCUCACUGGUCCAUUACUGACGCUGAGGUGCGAAAGCGUGGGGAGCAAACAGG
rnacentral:rRNA from 1 species